GGGACUUACAUUAUUACAAUGAAUUCUAUGAAGUACAUGCCCAAGACAAAUAACCCCUCACAGGAGAGGAUGUCCAUACUCCACUUGCAUUUCGCAAGGGAGAAGGAUGUUUAAAUAUAAAGAACAUUUAGCCCCCACAAUGCUUUUGUGGGGGCUAGAACCAAUGCCCUCACAAUGCUUGUGAGGGCAGCAGCCCACCACUUCGGC
rnacentral:lncRNA from 1 species